rnacentral:rRNA from 1 species
GUGGCUAUUUNGUUGGUUCUAGGACGCCGUANUGAUUAAUAGGGACAGUCGGGGGCAUCAGUAUUCAAUUGUCAGAGGUGAAAUUCUUGGGUUUAUUCGAANACUAACUACUGCGAAAGCAUUUGCCANGGAUGUUUUCAUUAAUCAGUGAACGAAAGUUAGGGGAUCGAAGACGAUCAGAUACCGUCGUAGUCUUAACCAUAAACUAUGCCGACUAGGGAUCGGGCGAUGUUAUCUUNUUGACUCGCUCGGCACCUUACGAGAAAUCAAAGUNUUUGGGUUCUGGGGGGAGUAUGGUCGCAAGGCUGANACUUAAAGAAAUUGACGGAAGGGCACCACCAGGANUGGANCCUGCGGCUUAAUNUGACUCANCACGGGGAAACUCACCAGGUCCAGACACAAUAAGGAUNGACAGAUUGAGAGCUCUUUCUUGAUNNUGUGGGUGGUGGUGCAUGGCCGUUCUUAGUUGGUGGAGUGAUUUGUCUGCUUAAUCGCGAUAACGAACGAGACCUUAACCUGCUAAAUAGCCCGGCUAGCUUUGGCUGGUCGCUGGCUUCUUAUAGGGACUAUCGGCUCAAGCCGAUNGAAGUNUGAGGCAAUAACAGGUCUGUGAUGCCCUUAAAUGUNCUGGGCCGCANGCGCGCUACACUGACAGANCCANCGAGUUUAUCANCUUGGCCGAAAGGCCUGGGUAAUCUUGUNCAACUCUGUCGUGCUGGNGAUANGGCNUGGCCAUAAAUCGAAUUC